rnacentral:ncRNA from 1 species
GGCCAGAUUGUCUUUUCUGCUGGAAUAACCUCUACUGACAAUUGUACUACUGUUACUACUUAAAAAAACCCAAAACAAACCCCAGCAUUUCAGAGUGCACUCAUUAAGAAGUUUGAUACGUUUUUCAGAAGAAAUCAAAGCAUUUAAAGCUGGCUGCCCAACAGUGCAUUCCAGCCAGGAAUAACAGGACUCUGGCUCUUUUUUUUUGGUUGUUAUUUGGAAGCAGGACCAUGACUAAGAGCAGUGGCUGGGGGCAUUCAUGUUGUGCCACUUGCACUGAAAUUCUUGGACCAGUGCAAGAUGAACUAAAGCAAAAGCAUUUGACAAGAAUGUUUUCAUUCAUCAAGGGC